UAUGUUUUAGUAUAUGAGGUACAGAAAUUUUUGAUGUUUCAGGGGCUAGUUUGAGUCUAGCAGAUGUAA
rnacentral:tRNA from 2 species